rnacentral:misc_RNA from 1 species
UUCAUUAUUUAAUUACUGCACGAGUGACUUAAAAAACAAAAAAGCAAAAAGAAAAUAAUCAUUAAAAAUAACUAUUGCAAAUAUAUCUUUGGUUUGAAAACCCGUCGUCCGAAAAAACGAUAUAUUUAUUUUACAAUCAAACUUCUUCAUAAUUUACAUUGGACAAAUAACGAAAAAUCGAAAAUUAAUAAUGAUGUGCAUUGUAAUUGGAUUUUGUAAUUGGAUAAAGUAAAUCAAUAUUUAAUUUUAUAUGCGUACGUAAUCUAAUAUUUUUUCUUUCUCGAAUACAUCAUCCAAAGUUUCCUUUAUUUCCUGGUAGAAAAAAAGCCGUUAUUUUGUCGAAUAAAAGGUUAAAGACCUCGGCCGUAUAAAUCGUUAAAAAUGUAUUCAAGACACGCAGAUACAGAUGUAUUUCGACUGGAACGUAUGGUCUUAACGAGGAAAGUAUAUACACUCGCGGACGAUCUCUUCCAAAUGUAACCGUCUUUGACGAUUCGUGCCAAGGGCGAUAAAAAUCGACCGGUAGCCGAGUAGGCGCGAUCUCUCUUUGUGUGGAUUGAGUCAUAACAUAAAUCUCAGUAUAUACAUAGGUACUUAUAUACUUGCAUAUAUACAUAAAUACAUAUACACAUUGUACCUGCAACUCUCGGCCAAAAGAAUGCGAUCACCAAAUAUCACGCAUGUGUGAUGAAAACUGUAUACCAUAUACAGUUUUUAAUUAAAACAACAAAAACAAAAAUGGUAUCCUAGAAAAUGAACAUUUAAAUUUAGGAAUGAUCUUAAUAUGUAUAACAACAACAAAAUUAAAAAAGGGAUAGAACGUAUUGAACUUCAAUCAAUUUAUAUUAACUCAAACUAUUUGUUUGAAUUUGAAAAGUAAACUUCUUUGUCAAGGUUGCGAAACCAUAAACGGUUAAAAAAGUGACGAGGAAACGAUACGGAUUAUCUCGAAAGAAAACUUGCUUAUCCAUGAGAAAUGACACUCGAUAGAUUUUUUGUAUUUUUUUUUUUUGAUCAUACAUAAUACAUAUGUAUUUAAUGUGAUAUAACAGGACAAUGCGGAUGACUGCAAAUACCAUUUAAUUUUUUGUAAGUAAAAACAUAUUUUGCAUAUAUAAUUGAAUGUAUAAUAUUAUGUAAAAAAAAGAAGGGCUAAAAAAUCUAAUCUCAAUUUCACUGAUGGCACUAAAUACUUUUUUUUUAUAGCUCUGAUGAGAGAUUACCUAUACUAUAAAUUUACAAAUAAGCUUUCUUGAGCAUCGGAUUUCUAGCAACAAACAGUAAAAAGAGAAGAAAACAUUGCGAUAGACUCUAGACUGUUUCGAAAAUAUGACUCAUGCGGAUCCAGGAGGUAAAAAGAGACACAGGAAAAAGUAUCUCAAAGGCAGACACGGCGUCGAGGUUUGCUUGAAUGUCGUUGAAAGGAUCCUCCUUCGUCGAAAGGAUAGGAAAGAAGAAAAAAAAGAAGAAGGUGAAACGUAGAUGCAGGAGGCUAGCAAGAGGAUCGUCGUGAAGCGUCGACCUUGAAACGAACUCGAGGAACGGAGAGACUAGGGAGAGGUUUUGCCUUGGGUAAUCGGUGCCGCGGACUCAAAAACUAGGCCUGCGCAUAUGAUGACGUCACGAGCGAUGCCGCCUCGGUAAAACGUGCCGCCUGGAGAAAGGAAUCGCUUGCGAGUAAGAAACUUGGUGGGGGUCUCCUUUAGUUAGAGAGGUUUUACGUAUAGAACUUUACGGAUAGGCUCGUUCGUUAUGUUGUUGAAAGAAGAGAGAGAAGACCAUAAUAUGGGAAGAGAGAAGGAGAAGGCCGGUAAUCUGGUGGUGGCGGUUGGUAAGAACGAAGCAAGUAGACCGGCGACUUUCACCGUACAGCUAAGAUCGGCUGGUGUCGGUUCGUGGCUUGAUUCUCAACAACUCGACCACGCUCUUGGCCCAAACCACGUUACAAAAAGCUAAGAAAAAAAAGACAAAAAGGAAAAUAGAAAGAUUGUCGAUCUUGAACAAUUCUUUGAAAAACCUCAACGUUAUCUUCAUCUUCCUUGUCUUACACACUAAAGUGAAAAAAGUCUGAUCGCUGAUCGUGGACAAGGAUUCUCGGGAGUCAGCGCAAGACUUUUUUUUUAACUUGGCCGGCACGCACGUGACGUUGUGAAUUUACCCGUACCCGCAUUGUUGGUUUUCCUAACUUUUUGCUUAACAUUCCUAUCUUGAAGCAACUCGUGAGGUAAAUCAAUUCGACGUUUCCAACCGAUUCUCCGGAUUUUAUGUUCAAAUGUGCCCCUCUUCUAUUUGGUGAUUCAAUUUGUGGGUUUCGAAAGAAAAGUGAAACAAGGAAAAUGAAUCGUUCGGAUUGUCGCUGAGAAAACGUGAAAUUCUUCGUUUUCUUUUUGGGUCACUUGGAGAGAUCCAUCAGAUCCUGGUUUCCUUCGCGCAGAUGAGAUAUGGCACCGAUUUAGAUCUUCCUGAAGAGUAAAGAAGAACAACGAUGACAGGGAAACGUAUAUUUUUGGUCCGUUUCUUCAAACGGUUGCAUUUGUUUCUCUGGGUUCUCUGGAUCGUGUUACUCGUUGAAACUGGAGCAUUUUACAAUGAUGUGGAAAAGCAAAGAUACGAUGGAUGGUAUAACAACUUGGCCCAUCCAAAUUGGGGAUCCAUCGGCAGCAGGCUGAUACGAAAGGUACCUGCAGCUUAUUCCGAUGGUGUUUAUGCAUUAGCUGGCCAAGACAGACCCUCGCCGAGAAAACUAAGCGAUUUGUUCAUGCAAGGAGAUGAAGGUUUACCUUCCGUUAAGAACCGGACUGCUCUUUUCGCUUUUUUCGGGCAACUGAUCACGUCGGAAAUAAUCAUGGCCAGCGAAAGUGGCUGCCCUAUAGAGUUCCAUCGUAUCGACGUGGAUAAAUGUGAUCCGGUUUUCGACAAGGAGUGCCAAGGUAACAAGUACAUUCCUUUCCUACGUGCCGAUUACGACCGCCAAACUGGACAUAGCCCGAACAGCCCUCGCGAACAGAUAAAUAAAGUAACAAGCUGGAUCGAUGGUAGCUUCAUAUACUCCAGUAGCGAAGCAUGGGCGAACACUAUGCGAGCAUUCAAGAACGGAAGUCUCCUCAUGGAACCGAGCAGAAAAUUUCCCGUGAGAAACACCAUGCGCGCCCCUCUCUUCAAUCAUGCCGUUCCACACGUUAUGAGAAUGCUCAGUCCAGAACGGCUUUAUCUACUCGGAGAUCCAAGGACCAAUCAACAUCCACCGUUACUCUCAUUAGGGAUCCUAUUUUAUCGUUGGCAUAACGUUAUAGCAAGUCGUGUGCAACGAGAAUAUCCAGACAUGUCCGACGAAGAAAUCUUUCAGAAAUCACGACGUAUAGUUAUAGGAACUCUACAGAACAUCAUUUUAUAUGAAUAUCUUCCCACGCUUUUAAACGAAGAAUUACCAGCGUAUACUGGUUAUAAAGCUGAUCUCCAUCCAGGAAUAAGUCACAUUUUUCAAAGUGCUGCUUUUCGUUUUGGACAUACUCUCAUACCACCUGGUAUAUACAGACGUGACGAAAGAUGCGAGUUUCGUAAGACUAACGCGGGUCAAGCCGCGAUCAGACUCUGCUCUACUUGGUGGGAUUCGAACGAAAUUUUAUCAAAUAGUACUAUAGAAGAACUAAUUAUGGGAAUGAGCUCUCAAAUAGCCGAAAAAGAGGACAACCUUCUCGGUACAGAUAUACGAAACAAUUUAUUCGGACCCAUGGAAUUUUCCCGCAGGGAUCUUGGGGCUCUUAAUAUCAUGCGUGGUCGUGAUAAUGGAUUACCGGAUUACAAUACAGCACGAAAACAUUUCAAGUUAACGCCAAGGAAAACAUGGAACGAGAUUAAUCCUGACUUAUUCAACAAAAAUCCAUCUCUUUUACGUACACUCGUUGAAAUCCACUCUAACAACUUAAAUAAUGUUGAUGUUUAUGUUGGCGGUAUGUUGGAAUCCAGUGAUGGUCCGGGAGAACUUUUUACUGCAGUUAUUAAAGAGCAAUUUUUACGCUUGAGAGAUUCUGAUCGCUUUUGGUUUGAAAACGAAGAGUCUGGGAUCUUUACCAAAAACGAAAUAGAUGAUAUACGUCGUGUGACGUUGUGGGACGUAAUCACUAAUGCGACCAAUAUUUCACCGGACACAAUUCAAAAGCGAGUAUUCCUUUGGGAAGAAAAUGAUCCGUGUCCACAACCUUUUCAAUUGAAUUCAUCCGUUCUCGAACCCUGUUUACCGUUGCAACGAUACGACUAUUUUGAAGGCAGCGAAUUCGUAUACAUCUACGCUUGCGUCUUCCUCGGAUUUUUUCCAAUUUUAUGCGCUGGUGCCGCUUAUGGUUUGGUGAAACUACAAAACCGACGAAGACGUCGUUUACGUAUACUUCAAGAAGAAAUUCAAAGGAGAAGUGACAAUCGAAUUUGCGUCGAUAAAAUGGUCGUACGCGAGUGGUUGCACGCUAAUCAUCGUCGUUUGGUGAAAGUUCGCUUCGGUCCAGAAGCAGCUUUGCAUAUUGUCGAUCGAAAGGGCGAAAAACUUCGUACGUUCGAUUUUAGUGGCGUUAAUACAAUAACCAUAGAAGAAUCUCAGGAGAGCGAAAGUGGGCAUAGAAAGGCGUUGGUAUUGUUACGUAUACCGCGUGAUUAUGACCUUGUCCUUGAACUCGAUUCCUUGGCCUCGCGCAGAAAGUUCAUUGCGAAAUUGGAAGCGUUCCUGUCGUCCCACAAGAAACAUUGCACGCUUUUCCAAGUUAACCGCGAUGUUAUGCUAGCAAAAGCGGAAACUAAAGAGCGUCGUCAAAAGAAACUCGAACAGUUUUUCCGAGAAGCUUAUGCGUUGACAUUUGGUUUACGUCCUGGGGAAAGACGACGACGAUCCGAGGAUAGCGACACGGGCGAAGUUAUUACAGCUAUGCGUACAUCUCUGUCGAAAAGUGAGUUUGCUAGUGCACUCGGUAUGCGUCCUGAUGCAGUUUUCGUGAAGAAAAUGUUUAAUAUCGUCGACAAAGACGGCGACGGUCGCAUAUCUUUCCAAGAAUUUCUCGACACCGUGUUGCUCUUUUCCCGUGGUAAAACCGAGGACAAAUUGCGUAUUAUUUUUGAUAUGUGCGAUAAAGACAGCAAUGGUGUCAUCGAUAAAGAAGAAUUAUCCGAGAUGUUAAGGUCCCUCGUUGAAAUUGCACGUACUACGAGUCUUUCCGACGAUCAUGUCACCGAACUCAUCGAUGGAAUGUUUCAAGACGCUGGACUUGAAAGGAAAAAUUAUCUUACCUACAAUGAUUUCAAGUUAAUGAUGAAAGAAUACAAAGGUGAUUUUGUGGCCAUCGGAUUGGAUUGUAAGGGAGCAAAACAAAAUUUUUUAGACAUGUCGACAAACGUCGCACGAAUGACGAGCUUUCAUAUCGAUCAACUGCCACCGGAAGAUUCGAAGAGUUGGACCCGCAAACAAUGGGACGCAAUAUCGACUUUUCUCGAGGAAAACAGACAAAAUAUAUUUUAUCUUUUCGUGUUUUACGUUAUCACUAUAGCACUAUUUGUUGAAAGAUUUAUACAUUAUUCUUUCAUGGCUGAACAUACAGAUUUGAGACAUAUUAUGGGUGUUGGUAUCGCUAUAACUCGAGGAUCGGCAGCAGCUUUAUCAUUUUGUUACAGUCUAUUACUCCUCACGAUGUCUCGCAAUCUCUUGACCAAAUUAAAAGAAUUCUCGAUUCAGCAAUACAUACCAUUGGAUUCGCACAUACAAUUUCAUAAAAUAGCCGCGUGCACGGCUCUCUUUUUUUCCAUUUUACAUACGGUCGGACACAUCGUGAAUUUUUAUCACGUAUCGACACAACCGAUAGCACAUCUCCGUUGCCUCACAAACGAGAUCAGUUUUCCAAGCGAUGCCAAGCCAACUAUCACAUUUUGGCUCUUUCAAACGGUGACAGGUUUAACCGGUAUUCUACUUUUCCUCGUAAUGACGAUCAUUUUCGUCUUCGCGCAUCCCACGAUACGUCAAAAAGCAUACAAAUUCUUUUCUUUAACUCACAGUUUGUAUGUAUUAUUUUAUGCGUUAUCAUUGAUCCACGGUUUAGCUAGAUUAACCGGCUCGCCGAGAUUUUGGAUUUUCUUCGUAGGUCCAGCUAUCAUCUAUGCUCUUGAUAAGGUCGUAAGUUUGAGAACGAAAUACAUGGCCCUUGAUAUAAUUGAGACGGAAUUGCUACCCUCCGAUGUAAUAAAGAUAAAAUUCUAUAGACCUCCAAAUCUAAAGUAUCUCUCGGGUCAAUGGGUACGUCUCUCGUGUACAGUCUUUAGAUCGAAUGAGUUUCACUCAUUCACCCUUACUUCGGCGCCCCACGAGAACUUCCUUUCGUGUCAUAUAAAAGCGCAAGGUCCAUGGACCUGGAAAUUAAGGAACUACUUUGAUCCUUGUAACUAUAAUCCGGAGGACGAUCAUCCUAAAAUACGAAUCGAGGGACCGUUCGGAGGUGGAAAUCAAGACUGGUAUAAAUUCGAAGUAGCAGUUAUGGUUGGCGGGGGAAUUGGAGUUACUCCGUAUGCUUCCAUGCUGAAUGAUCUCGUCUUUGGUACUUCCACCAACAGAUAUUCCGGAGUUGCCUGUAAAAAGGUAUACUUUCUUUGGAUUUGCCCAUCCCACAAACAUUUUGAGUGGUUCAUCGACGUUCUCAGGGACGUCGAAAGGAAAGAUGUAACCGACGUUCUCGAGAUACACAUAUUUAUAACUCAGUUCUUUCAUAAAUUCGACUUACGUACUACCAUGCUUUAUAUCUGUGAAAAUCAUUUUCAAAGAUUAUCCAAGAAAAGCAUAUUCACUGGACUGAAAGCUAUUAAUCAUUUUGGUCGACCGGAUAUGACCUCCUUUCUAAAGUUCGUCCAAAAGAAACAUAGUUACGUCAGUAAAAUAGGAGUAUUUAGUUGCGGACCACGACCUUUAACCAAAAGCGUAAUGUCUGCUUGCGACGAGGUGAACAAAGGUCGUAGACUACCAUACUUUAUCCACCAUUUUGAGAACUUCGGCUAGUUAUAUAUUACGAGAAUAGAAGCGGAAACCCGUUGCUUUCUACAGACUCCUCUGGAACAUACUGAAGAGAGUGUACAUAUUUAUUGUGUUAGUGAUUCAAUGAAAUGAACACAAAUAUUUUCCGCUUUUAGUGGAUUACUAGUCGGUAAUGAUAAUUUAAACAAAAAAAAUUCAAUAAAUAUUUCGUACCGAUAACAGACAAGAAUCGAAUUUAAAAAGUAAGAAGUUAAAUAUACGUAGCUAGUUUUGAGCUUUAUU